CCCAAUCCGUUAGGGUUUUCGAGCUAGCUAUGGAGAUCAAAAAGGGAAACCUCUUGGAAGUGUUUUUAGGUGCUCAGUUUUUGAUUGCUCUAUUGAUUGUUAAAUUCGGAAAAGGUCUUGCGCUUGGAGUUGCUGUGAGUAGGAUUCUUUUUUGAAAUGGUUUUGAGAACCAAUCAUGAAAGGCUUUCUUGUUAUCAAAACCUCAGGGAGAAGUAAAUUUAGAAGUGACCAGAGUUCCUUCAAAUCAUUCUGCAACGGUGUGCCUGUCAAAAGCAUACGUCUUUGACAACGAUACCUAUUAAGGUGCUCCUUCCAUUAUCUCAACAGCUGCACACACAGAUCAAGCAGUCCAUCACAAUGUACUAGUUUGCCUCCCGCAUUUCCUUCUUUUGAUUCCUUAGGUUGACUCAAGGAAUAGCAUCUCAAAAACUGUUGUCUGCCGCAACCACAAGUUCAUACAUGGUUUGUCAAGUUUGGAAUUCUGCACGAAAUUGCAUUGGCCGCUGGUUGAUUUUAAUAGCAGGUGCUUGGCUUGUAUCUCGAUGAGGAUGAAGCACAAUAGUCAGUUCAAGAAUUUAACCAUUUUGAAAUGACUUCGGUGGGUCUUAGUAUGACGGUAGCCGUACAUAUAUAAUCCUGUACUUCCAAACUCCUUUGCUUUGUCAAUAAGACCAGCUCUUCCAAAGAGAUGGUCCAUAUAGGAAUAGUGCUUAAUCCUUGAAUUUAUUUGCGUAGACUUCUAUCAUUUGUCUAAAUAGCAAUUGUCCUUGUGCUACAAGACCGGAAUGAAUACAAGCUAUUAAAACUACUACCAUUGUUACAUGAUCUGGUUUAAUAUUAUUAUUGAACCGAUGUACAAUUUAUUUGGCUUGU